UACGUAGGGUGCAAGCGUUGUCCGGAAUUAUUGGGCGUAAAGAGCUCGUAGGCGGCUUGUCGCGUCGGCUGUGAAAACCUGAGGCUCAACCUCGGGCUUGCAGCCGAUACGGGCAAGCUAGAAUUCGGUAGGGGAGACUGGAAUUCCUGGCGUAGCGGUGAAAUGCGCAGAUAUCAGGAGGAACACCGGUGGCGAAGGCGGGUCUCUGGGCCGAUAUUGACGCUGAGGAGCGAAAGCGUGGGGAGCAAACAGG
rnacentral:rRNA from 1 species